rnacentral:rRNA from 1 species
GACAGAGGCCUCGAGCGUUAGGCGGAAUCACUGGGCUUAAAGCGUGUGUAGGCGGGCCCGUAAGUGUCUUGUGAAAUCCCACGGCUCAACCGUGGAACUGCUGGGCAUACUGCGGGUCUUGGGCCAACUAGGGGCAGCCGGAACAAGCGGUGGAGCGGUGAAAUGCGUAGAUAUCGAGAGGAACACCGGUGGCGAAGGCGGCCUUCUGGACAGUGACUGACGCUGAGACGCGAAAGCGUGGGGAGCAAACAGG